CCUACGGGAGGCAGCAGUGAGGAAUAUUGGUCAAUGGGCGCGAGCCUGAACCAGCCAAGUCGCGUGAAGGAUUACUGCCCUACGGGUUGUAAACUUCUUUUAUCAAGGAAUAAAGUGAGGCACGUGUGCCUUUUUGUAUGUACUUUAUGAAUAAGGAUCGGCUAACUCCGGGCCAGCAGCCGCGGUAAUACGGGGGAUCCGAGCGUUAUCCGGAUUUAUUGGGUUUAAAGGGAGCGUAGAUGGGUUGUUAAGUCAGUUGUGAAAGUUUGCGGCUCAACCGUAAAAUUGCAAUUGAUACUGGCAGUCUUGAGUACAGUUGAGGUAGGCGGAAUGCGUGGUGUAGCGGUGAAAUGCUUAGAUAUCACGCAGAACUCCGAUUGCGAAGGCAGCUUACUAAACUGCCACUGACAUUGAUGCACGAAAGUGUGGGGAUCAAACAGGAUUAGAUACCCUGGUAGUC
rnacentral:rRNA from 1 species